rnacentral:rRNA from 1 species
CCUACGGGUGGCAGCAGUGGGGAAUAUUGCACAAUGGGGGAAACCCUGAUGCAGCGACGCCGCGUGAGUGAAGAAGUAUUUCGGUAUGUAAAGCUCUAUCAGCAGGGAAGAAACCCACCCUCCGGGGUGGCUGACGGUCCCUGACUAAGAAGCCCCCGCGAACUACGGGCCAGCAGCCGCGGUAAUACGUAGGGGGCAAGCGUUAUCCGGAUUUACUGGGUGGAAAGGGAGCGUAGGUGGCAAGGCAAGUCAGAUGUGAAAACCCGGGGCCCAACCCCGGGAGUGCAUUUGAAACUGUCUGGCUUGAGUGCAGGAGAGGUAAGUGGAAUUCCGAGUGUAGCGGUGAAAUGCAUAGAUAUUAGGAGGAACACCAGUGGCGAAGGCGGCUUACUGGACUGUAACUGACGCUGAGGCUCGAAAGCGUGGGGAGCAAACAGGAUUAGAUACCCCUGUAGUC